CAGCGGGAGCUCUCUGUCAGUCUUGCUGUGGCUCAUUGUGUUGAAAGAUUUGUGGUGAGGUUGGACUAGGUAAAUUGGGGUUCCCCUACAUUUGCUACACAUACAUAGUUGACUUUGUUGGAAACACUAGAUAUGAAUAAAGUAUAAACUUCAAUCAAACCUCUAUACUGCCAAUGAGAGGAAUUUCAGCUUGGACCAGCCCAUCAGAAGUUAAGUUCGUUCAGGAGAAAAUGGAUACCGACCAGACACAGGUGAAACAAGACACAGACGCGGGAUCAAUUGAAAGGGUUCGAAAAUGGAUGGAUGGCUGACAUGCAGACAAACAGGGAUCAUGGAAUCUUUCUUCUCCAACUCGCAAAAAAAACCCGGCCUUGACAAGAACAGUUAAAAGCCUAAUUAAUGCUUUAACUUUAAAUUACACAUUAAAUAUCAACAGCGUUUGUCAUCUAUGACAAAGGACUCAGAUGAAAUACAAUGUAAAACACACUGUAUGCCACAUUCUUUUCAAUAAACAAAUUUAACACCAAA